rnacentral:sRNA from 1 species
AAAAAAUAUGCAAUAGGCAAUGUCCAUG